GCCCGGUCCCAUUCCGAACCCGGAAGCUAAGCUCCUCAGCGCCGAUGGUACUGCACUGGUGAUGGUGUGGGAGAGUAGGACGCCGCCGGAC
rfam:Cryptosporangium aurantiacum strain DSM 46144 genome assembly, contig: Ga0131100_129